rnacentral:rRNA from 1 species
CCUACGGGUGGCAGCAGUGAGGAAUAUUGGUCAAUGGUCGGGAGACUGAACCAGCCAAGCCGCGUGAGGGAUGAAGGUACAGAGUAUCGUAAACCUCUUUUGUCAGGGAACAAAGGCGGGGACGUGUCCCCGGAUGAGUGUACCUGAAGAAAAAGCAUCGGCUAGCUCCGUGCCAGCGGCCGCGGUAAUACGGAGGAUGCGUGCGUUAUCCGGAUUUAUUGGGGUAAAGGGGUGGGCAGGGGGGCUGUUAAGUGAGCGGUCAAAGCCCGGGGCUAAACCCAGGCCCGCCGUUGAAACUGGCAGUCUCGAGUUGGAGAGAAGUAUGCGGAAUGCGCGGUGUAGCGGUGAAAUGCAUAGAUAUCGCGCAGAACUCCGAUUGCGAAGGCAGCAUGCCGGCUCGACACUGACGCUGAGGCACGAAAGCGUGGGUAUCGAACAGGAUUAGAUACCCCUGUAGUC